UCAGCCGCAGUGAAUAGGCCCAAGCGACUGUUUAUCAAAAACACAGGUCUCUGCAAAAUCGAAAGAUGACGUAUAGGGGCUGACGCCUGCCCGGUGCUGGAAGGUUAAGAGGAGUGCUUAGCGUAAGCGAAGGUACGAAUUGAAGCCCCAGUAAACGGCGGCCGUAACUAUAACGGUCCUAAGGUAGCGAAAUUCCUUGUCGGGUAAGUUCCGACCCGCACGAAAGGCGUAACGAUUUGGGCACUGUCUCAACGAGAGACUCGGUGAAAUUUUAGUACCUGUGAAGAUGCAGGUUACCCGCGACAGGACGGAAAGACCCCAUGGAGCUUUACUGCAGUUUGAUAUUGAGUGUUUGUACCACAUGUACAGGAUAGGUAGGAGCCGUAGAAGUCGGGACGCUAGUUUCGACAGAGGCGCUGGUGGGAUACUACCCUUGUGUUAUGACCACUCUAACCCGCACCACUAAUCGUGGUGGGAGACAGUGUCAGAUGGGCAGUUUGACUGGGGCGGUCGCCUCCUAAAGAGUAACGGAGGCGCCCAAAGGUUCCCUCAGAAUGGUUGGAAAUCAUUCGCAGAGUGUAAAGGCACAAGGGAGCUUGACUGCGAGACCUACAAGUCGAGCAGGGACGAAAGUCGGGCUUAGUGAUCCGGUGGUUCCGCAUGGAAGGGCCAUCGCU
rnacentral:rRNA from 1 species